rnacentral:rRNA from 1 species
GACGAACGCUGGCGGCGUGCUUAACACAUGCAAGUCGAACGGAAAGGCCCUGCUUUUGUGGGGUGCUCGAGUGGCGAACGGGUGAGUAACACGUGAGUAACCUGCCCUUGACUUUGGGAUAACUUCAGGAAACUGGGGCUAAUACCGGAUAGGAGCUCCUGCUGCAUGGUGGGGGUUGGAAAGUUUCGGCGGUUGGGGAUGGACUCGCGGCUUAUCAGCUUGUUGGUGGGGUAGUGGCUUACCAAGGCUUUGACGGGUAGCCGGCCUGAGAGGGUGACCGGCCACAUUGGGACUGAGAUACGGCCCAGACUCCCACGGGAGGCAGCAGUGGGGAAUAUUGCACAAUGGGCGGAAGCCUGAUGCAGCAACGCCGCGUGCGGGAUGACGGCCUUCGGGUUGUAAACCGCUUUCGCCUGUGACGAAGCGUGAGUGACGGUAAUGGGUAAAGAAGCACCGGCAAACUACGUG